AAUUUUGGACAAUGGGGGCAACCCUGAUCCAGCCAUCCCGCGUGUGCGAUGAAGGCCUUCGGGUUGUAAAGCACUUUUGGUAGGGCGGAAAAGGUUCUGGCUAAUAUCGGGUACUGCUGACGGUACCUGCAGAAUACGCACCGGCUAACACCGCGCCAGCAGCCGCGGUAAUACGUAGAGUGCAAGCGUUAAUCGGAAUUACUGGGCGUAAGGCGUGCGCAGGCGGUUCGGCAAGAAGAAUGUGAAAUCCCGGGGCGUAACCUCAGAACUGCAUUCUUAACUGCCGGGCUAGAGUAUGUCAGAGGGGGGUAGAAUUCCACGUGUAGCAGUGAAAUGCGUAGAUAUGUGGAGGAAUACCGAUGGCGAAGGCAGCCCCCUGGGAUAAUACUGACGCUCAGACACGAAAGCGUGGGGAGCAAACA
rnacentral:rRNA from 1 species